GUGCCAGCAGCCGCGGUAAUNCGGAGGGUGCANGCGUUANUNGGAAUUANUGGGCGUAAAGCGCACGCNGGCGGUUUGUUAANUCAGAUGUGAANUCCCCGGGCUCAACCUGGGAACUGCAUUUGAAACNGGCAAGNNGAGUNNNUAGAGGGGGGUAGAAUUCCAGGUGUAGCGGUGAAAUGCGUAGAGAUCNGGAGGAAUACCGGUGGCGAAGGCGGCCCCCUGGACAAAGACUGACGCUCAGGUGCGAAAGCGUGGGGAGCAAACAGGAUUAGAUACCNUGGUAGUCCACGCUGUAAACGAUGUCGACUUGGAGGUUGUUCCCUUGAGGAGUGGCUUCCGGAGCUAACGCGUUAAGUCGACCGCCUGGGGAGUACGGCCGCAAGGUUAAAACUCAAAUGAAUUGACGGGGGCCCGCACAAGCGGUGGAGCAUGUGGUUUAAUUCGAUGCAACGCGAAGAACCUUACCUACUCUUGACAUCCAGAGAACUUAGCAGAGAUGCUUUGGUGCCUUCGGGAACUCUGAGACAGGUGCUGCAUGGCUGUCGUCAGCUCGUGUUGUGAAAUGUUGGGUUAAGUCCCGCAACGAGCGCAACCCUUAUCCUUUGUUGCCAGCGNUUCGGYCGGGAACUCAAAGGAGACUGCCAGUGAUAAACUGGAGGAAGGUGGGGAUGACGUCAAGUCAUCAUGGCCCUUACGAGUAGGGCUACACACGUGCUACAAUGGCAUAUACAAAGAGAAGCGACCUCGCGAGAGCAAGCGGACCUCAUAAAGUAUGUCGUAGUCCGGAUUGGAGUCUGCAACUCGACUCCAUGAAGUCGGAAUCGCUAGUAAUCGUAGAUCAGAAUGCUACGGUGAAUACGUUCCCGGGCCUUGUACACACCGCCCGUCACACCAUGGGAGUGGGUUGCAAAAGAAGUAGGUAGCUUAACCUUCGGGAGGGC
rnacentral:rRNA from 1 species